ensembl:misc_RNA 7SK 7SK RNA
GAACGUAGGACCUCGUGCAUGCUAAGCAUGCACUCUACCACUUGAGCUAUACCCUCCCCUGUUGCAUGUACAUUUUAAUAUCAGCUUGUCCUGCAUGCUUUGUCUAAGACGGCGACCUUCCCUGAUAGGGGAGGACUGUUCUUGGGUCAAGGGUGUACGAGUAGCUGCAUUCCCCUGCUAGGGCCUCCAGACAAGCUUUUGAGGUCCCUUUGUAGAAGAAUGUAGGGUAGUCAAGCUUCCAAAACUCCAGGCACAUUCAAAUGAGGUGCUUCAUGUGGCAAUCUGUCUUUCUUA